GACGAACGCUGGCGGCGUGCUUAACACAUGCAAGUCGAGCGGUAAGGCCCUUUUGGGGGUACACGAGCGGCGAACGGGUGAGUAACACGUGGGUGACCUGCCCUCAGCUCUGGGAUAAGCCUGGGAAACUGGGUCUAAUACUGGAUAUGACCUUUCCUCGCAUGGGGUUGGUGGAAAGUUUUUUCGGCUGGGGAUGGGGCCCGCGGCCUAUCAGCUUGUUGGUGGGGUGAUGGCCUACCAAGGCGACGACGGGUAGCCGGCCUGAGAGGGCGACCGGCCACACUGGGACUGAGACACGGCCCAGACUCCUACGGGAGCAGCAGUGGGGAAUAUUGCGCAAUGGGCGGAAGCCUGACGCAGCGACGCCGCGU
rnacentral:rRNA from 1 species